rnacentral:rRNA from 1 species
GGCCUUCGGGCCGAGUAAAGCGGCGGACGGGUGAGUAACGCGUAGGAAUCUACCUGGUAGUGGGGGACAACGUAUGGAAACGUACGCUAAUACCGCAUACGCCCUACGGGGGAAAGCGGGGGACCUUCGGGCCUCGUGCUAUCAGAUGAGCCUGCGUUAGAUUAGCUUGUUGGUGAGGUAAAGGCUCACCAAGGCGACGAUCUAUAGCUGGUCUGAGAGGAUGAUCAGCCACACUGGGACUGAGACACGGCCCAGACUCCUACGGGAGGCAGCAGUGGGGAAUAUUGCGCAAUGGGGGCAACCCUGACGCAGCCAUGCCGCGUGUGUGAAGAAGGCCUUAGGGUUGUAAAGCACUUUCAAUUGGGAAGAAAGGUUGUAGGUUAAUAGCCUGCAGCUGUGACAUUACCUUUAGAAGAAGCACCGGCUAACUCCGUGCCAGCAGCCGC